rnacentral:rRNA from 1 species
AGCAGCAGCCGCGGGAAUACGGAGGGUGCAAGCGUUAAUCGGAAUUACUGGGCGUAAAGCGCACGCAGGCGGUUUGUUAAGUCAGAUGUGAAAUCCCCGAGCUUAACUUGGGAACUGCAUUUGAAACUGGCAGGCUAGAGUCUUGUAGAGGGGGGUAGAAUUCCAGGUGUAGCGGUGAAAUGCGUAGAGAUCUGGAGGAAUACCGGUGGCGAAGGCGGCCCCCUGGACAAAGACUGACGCUCAGGUGCGAAAGCGUGGGGAGCAAACAGGAUUAGAUACCCCUGUAGUCCCUGUCUCUUAUAC